rnacentral:rRNA from 1 species
UCUUACGGGAGGCACCAGUGGGGAAUAUUGGACAAUGGGCGAACCUGAUCCAGCCAUGCCGCGUGUGUGAAGAAAGGUCUUCGGAUUGUAAACCUCUUUAAGUUGGGAGGAAGGGUUGUACGUUAAUACCGUGCAAUUUUGACGUUACCGACAGAAUAAGCACCGGCUAACUCUGUGCCAGCAGCCGCGGUAAUACAGAGGGUGCAAGCGUUAAUCGGAAUUACUGGGCGUAAAGCGCGCGUAGGUGGUUUGUUAAGUUGGAUGUGAAAGCCCCGGGCUCAACCUGGGAACUGCAUCCAAAACUGGCAAGCUAGAGUACGGUAGAGGGUGGUGGAAUUUCCUGUGUAGCGGUGAAAUGCGUAGAUAUAGGAAGGAACACCAGUGGCGAAGGCGACCACCUGGACUGAUACUGACACUGAGGUGCGAAAGCGUGGGGAGCAAACAGGAUUAGAUACCCUGGUAGUCCACGCCGUAAACGAUGUCAACUAGCCGUUGGAAUCCUUGAGAUUUUAGUGGCGCAGCUAACGCAUUAAGUUGACCGCCUGGGGAGUACGGCCGCAAGGUUAAAACUCAAAUGAAUUGACGGGGGCCCGCACAAGCGGUGGAGCAUGUGGUUUAAUUCGAAGCAACGCGAAAACCUUACCAGGCCUUGACAUGCAGAGAACUUUCCAGAAGAUGGAUUGGUUGCCUUCGGGGAACUCUGAACACAGGUGCUGCAUGGCUGUCGUCCCUCGUGUCGUGAAAUGUUGGGUUAAGUCCCGUAACGAGCGCAACCCUUGUCCUUAGUUUCCACCACGUAAUGGUGGGCACCCUAAGGAGACUGCCGGUGAAAAACCGGAGGAAGGUGGGGAAGACGUCAAGUCAUCAUGGCCCUUACGGGCCUGGGCUAAACACGUGCUACCAUGGGCGGUUCAAAAGUUGCCAAGCCGCGGGGUGGAGCUAAACUCACAAAACCGGAUCGUAGUCCCGAUCGGAGGUCCGCAACUCCACUGUGAAAGUCGGAAUCGCUAGUAAUCGCAAACAGAAUGUUGCGGUGAAUACGUUCCCGGGCCUUGUACACACCGCCCGUCACACCAUGGGGAGUGGUUCACCAGAAGUAGCUAGUCUAACCUUCGGGAGGACGGUUACCACGGGGGGAUUCAUGACUGGGGGGAAGUC